rnacentral:tRNA from 1 species
GCCGGGAUAGCUCAGUGUAGAGCAGAGA